GCCCAUGUCACAAGACAGGUAGAAAGCAUUUUGCCCAAGUGCGAUAUGAGAUGGAAAAAGCUGGAGAACCAGUUGAUAAGUUUAGUGUCUGGAAGAGAACACGUGACUUAAAUGAUCACCUUGUGCAAGAGUUCAUUAAAUCAUAUGAGGAGAAACUUAGAAAGGAGUCGGAGGAGGAUCAGAACUUGACUAGUGUUAAAGAUCGAAUUUUCCACUAUUUGAUGGGAGAUGAUGGUCAUGGGUAUUGUCGUACUUUUGGAGCUGGUGUGCCUCGUAAUCUAGUAUAUCCAAAGGAAUCAAAUAUAUCUCAAAGCACAGAUGAUCUCGUACAAAAAAUCACUGAACAAGUGCGUCAAGAGUUUCAACUGCAGCUUCAGCAACUACAUGCUUGAAUUGAUUUUCUGCAGAAUAAGGACAGUAGCACAGAGACUCCUAGACAGGUUGCUGAUGCAACUAGCGGGCAUGAAAUUUUGAGGGAGUCUAUAGGAGAUGCAAUAACUCCGAAUGCAAAUAGUGACCAGCCAUUGUUGGAGCAGAAUUCUCUAGUAACAUCCCCUUCACAAAAUGGAUCUGAAAGGGUUCUCAUGGCAAAAAGAGCAAAGCAAAUGAAAGCAAGUGCAAAGCUCACAAAAUGACAAAGUAAAAUGAUGCACUUGUAAUUGUUGUUUUAUUUUAAGAGUGCUUAUUAUAAUGUUCAAUACUU